UUUUUUCAGAUGUUUGUAGGGGUUGCUGCAUCACGUGUUAAGGGUCUUUUUGCUAGUGCAAGAUCAUUUUCACCUUCUAUCAUAUUUAUUGAUUAGAUAGAUGUUGUUGGUAGCAAGCGUGGAGGACCUGACAUAGGUGGAGGAGGUGCUGAACGAGAACAAGGCUUACUUUAGAUACUUACUGAGUUGGAUGGAUUCAAAGUUUCUACAGCACAUGU